rnacentral:rRNA from 1 species
CUGAGCGUCAGUCUUUGUCCAGGGGGCCGCCUUCGCCACCGGUAUUCCUCCAGAUCUCUACGCAUUUCACCGCUACACCUGGAAUUCUACCCCCCUCUACAAGACUCAAGCUUGCCAGUUUCAAAUGCAGUUCCCAGGUUGAGCCCGGGGAUUUCACAUCUGACUUAACAAACCGCCUGCGUGCGCUUUACGCCCAGUAAUUCCGAUUAACGCUUGCACCCUCCGUAUUACCGCGGCUGCUGGCACGGAGUUAGCCGGUGCUUCUUCUGCGAGUAACGUCAAUCGCUAAGGUUAUUAACCUUAACGCCUUCCUCCUCGCUGAAAGUACUUUACAACCCGAAGGCCUUCUUCAUACACGCGGCAUGGCUGCAUCAGGCUUGCGCCCAUUGUGCAAUAUUCCCCACUGCUGCCUCCCGUAGGAGUCUGGACCGUGUCUCAGUUCCAGUGUGGCUGGUCAUCCUCUCAGACCAGCUAGGGAUCGUCGCCUAGGUGAGCCAUUACCCCACCUACUAGCUAAUCCCAUCUGGGCACAUCUGAUGGCAUGAGGCCCGAAGGUCCCCCACUUUGGUCUUGCGACGUUAUGCGGUAUUAGCUACCGUUUCCAGUAGUUAUCCCCCUCCAUCAGGCAGUUUCCCAGACAUUACUCACCCGUCCGCCGCUCGUCACCCG